GUCCAAUUCCUGAUGUAGACAGGAAUAUGGUCACGGAGUCCUCGCCAGUGGCUGUUCAGCACACAUGGCCUUCAGCAUCUGGAAGACGUGGAGCGGAGCCACAUCAGAUUCGGCAAGUCCACCAUGAUCCUGGGAAAACAAAGGCCAUGCUUAGUGAAACCUGAGAGCCUCAUGGCACACCAGCUCCAUGAGCUGGGCCAACUGGGUUACCGAACUGAAAUCCCGUAAAGAGACUCGGGAGUUUUCAGAACAGCAGAUGGGGGCCAGAGUGUGAGCUCAAACCCUGACCCUCGCCUUCUCACUUGAACACAUCGGUGUCGAAGACAGCACCAGCAGCCAGUUCCGCCUCGCAUAGCUCCUCUGUUCCCAGCACCUUCUUCGGCUAAAGGGCCAGCUUCUGUAGUGUCGCUGACUCCAGUCCUGUGGCUGUCCAGAGUCCAACCUCACAGACUGCGACUGUUCCUGCAGCCUGAAUAAAGCAUCCUGUGGCAGAGCCAUUCCCCACCAGAAAAGGUGGAGGACAAGGCAGAUGAACUCUCCUGGAUCAAUGUCAAUGAUUACAGUUUCCUACCAUCCAGGGAAUUAGUAUCGGAGUACUCCAUUUCUACUUUAGUGAAUACAACCUGUUCCCUCACUCAUAUUCUGGCUGAGGAGAACCUGGAAACAACUGUGCCAAACAGAUUGCAUGACACCUUGGCACAAAACGACUUGUUGUACCAGAGAAAUCAUAUAUACAGAAGGACAAGCCAACAUCAUCCACAGGUCUGCUACUCCAGGAGGCGUGCAUUUCAUCUCACCCUUUCUAGGUUUCCUUUGCAGAGGAGAUGGAGUGAGCUGGCUCUGCCAACAUUCAUGACAGAAACCAAAGAAAAGAACGGGCAGGAGGGUGCUGAUAUGAAGGCAUUCAACACACACAAGGAAGCAGAAAAUGCUGCAAAUAAAACAUUUGAGGAAACACAGGAGGAGCCUAAGAUGGAGGACAACAGAAACCUUUUUCAAAGAUUUUUCUGCUGCCUAUGCAUGCCAAGGACUAAAGAUACAACGUCCAGGGCUGAAGAUGCGGCCCUGACCCGGGGUUCCUAAACCCCGGGUCUGUGUUCAGCCUGGCUGGGGCAUAACAGCUUCUGGAGCAAGCCAGGCCAGAACAUGAAAGGAGGUGUGCCCCAAACCUCUACCUGUUAGACAGCUCCAGCCACCAGGGCAUGAGCUCUGUACCCCUCCUCUCCUACUGGGUGCAAGGGUGAACUUCAUUUGUCCCCAGAAGAAGUAGCUGGACAGAGAAGCCAGUCACAUCAUCAUGGGCGAUGAUGAGGCAUCCAUCCCGCUCCAAGUCCACAUGAGAAAAGCGCCCACACUGAAUCAGCCACUAGGAGGAGUUAAUGAGAACUCAUUUGCUUGACUAGCACCUCUUCUUCUGUGAGGUCCAGAUGAUGAGAUAAAGAGACAGCCCAGACAGAAGACCCUGGUCUAAGAAGAAGGUGUGCUGUGCGUGCCAUGGCUUGGACUCCCCUCAUCUUCAUUGUUCCAUCUCAAUGUACAGGUUCCUUUUCUCGGGCUAUAUUGACAGAAACACCCUCCGUGUCUGUGCCUCUUGGAUCAACAGCCAGACUCACCUGCACCCUGAGGAGUGACAUCGGCAUUGGCGACAACAACAUUUACUGGGACCAGCAGAUGCAGGGGAGCCCUCCCAGGGUUUACCUGUGCUGCUGCAGAGACUCAAACAUGUCACUGGGGCCUAGAAUCUCUAUUACAUUCUCUGGAUUCAGAGAAGCCUCAAAAAAUGUUGCAAAUUUGCACAUCUCUGAACUAUAGAUGAAGAAUGAGACUCAGCACUGCUGUUUUAUCUGGGAAAAUAGUGUUUCCCACAGUGAUACAGGCAGAUGGGCAAGUCGCCAUCAAUAGUAGCUUCUGCUAAAAAAAAAAAAAAUCAGUUCUGGCAGAGUGCAUGUAGUGGCCACAGGGAAUGGAGCAAAGAGGCUCUGCCAACAUCAGCUGCCACAGCACCAGUUCUAAACAGUGCAGAGGCCCGUGGUAUUGGUGUUGAUCACCCAGAAAGAUGCCCCCACCACAUGGAGGGCAAACUGCAUACAAGCAUCCAGAAGGGUAAAUAUCAUAAGGCACACGGGAUAUACCGGAUGCUCUUCUUCAGAUACAUUUCCAGAAACAAGCAUUCAGAAUCCUGAGAUCUCAAGUACUCAGGGGUAUUUCUCUUCUUCGGUCAUGGCCAGCAGAGCAGUGCAGGCUGACCUGACCAUGCUGGUCCUCACAUCCCUGGAGAAAGUAACGAUGUAUAUAGCUGAUGAACUGUUAGAGAACUGUAGAGCCAGCUACAGUGUUCAGUUUGAUGGACCUAAAUUCCCAAGAGCAAGUAGUGUUGGUGGCCAGAGCUCUGAAGUGGUCCAGUGGAGGAUCUGAGAAACUGGGCCAUUCUAGGUUCCACCAGCCCCUCAUGCUGUGGGGUCUGCAAUACUACUGUAAGUCUCAGUAUUACUUCCUGCCCUCUCCUGAGGGCAAGGGCUGCACCAACAUGACAGAUAGGUACUCCACUAUGCAAGGCUUCUGAAGCGGGUGGGUGAAUUUGUGGCCCAGACUGUGUACAACUGUUUUUCUGUUUGAAAAACAAGAGAGGUGCACAGGUGGCCUUUACAGGGUGUGCACAGAAGGUCCUGUCCAUCGAGGAUCAGACACAUUCUUUCUAUCCCUGCUCAGCUU